CCUACGGGAGGCAGCAGUCGAGAAUCAUUCACAAUGGGGGAAACCCUGAUGGUGCGACGCCGCGUGGGGGAAUGCAGGUCUUUGGAUUGUAAACUCCUGUCAUGUGGGAGCAAAUUAAAAAGAUAGUACCACAAGAGGAAGAGACGGCUAACUCUGUGCCAGCAGCCGCGGUAAUACAGAGGUCUCAAGCGUUGUUCGGAAUCACUGGGCGUAAAGCGUGCGUAGGCUGUUUCGUAAGUCGUGUGUGAAAGGUUCGGGCUCAACCCGCGAACGGCAGUUGAUACUGCGAGACUAGAGUAAUGGAGAGGGAAGCGGAAUUCUCGGUGUAGCAGUGAAAUGCGUAGAUAUCGAGAGGAACACUCGUGGCGAAGGCGGGUUCCUGGACAUUAACUGACGCUGAGGCACGAAGGCCAGGGGAGCGAAAAGGAUUAGAUACCCGUGUAGUC
rnacentral:rRNA from 1 species